rnacentral:sRNA from 1 species
AAUUUGCUGCGGACAAAUGAAGUGGAUGUGGCUGUCGAUACCACCCGCAGUCAGUAUCAUCCCUUCACCGGCGAUCGCCUCGGUACCGGGGCCGAUAAUUAUGUCUACGUUGUCCUGAAUGUAAGGAUUUCCGGCUUUGCCAAUUUUGAAUAUUUUUCCAUCCUUAAUGCCAAUAUCGGCUUUAACAAUACCCCACCAAUCGAGAAUCAAAGCAUUAGUUAUGACCGUAUCCACCGCACCAUCCGCAUUGGAAAUCGGUGACUGUCCCAUGCCAUCGCGAAU